UACGGAGGGUGCGAGCGUUAAUCGGAAUUACUGGGCGUAAAGGGCGCGUAGGCGGCCGAUCAAGUUAGAUGUGAAAGUCCUGGGCUUAACCUGGGGACUGCAUUUGAUACUGAUUGGCUUGAAUUCGGGAGAGGAUAGCGGAAUUCCCAGUGUAGAGGUGAAAUUCGUAGAUAUUGGGAAGAACACCGGUGGCGAAGGCGGCACUCUGGGCUGGAACUGACGCUGAGGAGCGAAAGCGUGGGUAGCAAACAGG
rnacentral:rRNA from 1 species